GUGCUUACUUUGGCAGCACAUGAACUAAAAUUGAAACGGUACAGAGAAGAUUAGAUUAGCAAGGCCCUUGCACAAGGAGGACAUGCAAAUUCAUGAAGUGUUCCAUAUUUUU
ensembl:snRNA U6 U6 spliceosomal RNA